rnacentral:rRNA from 1 species
AGCGAACGCUGGCGGCAGGCCUAACACAUGCAAGUCGAACGGAUCCUUCGGGAUUAGUGGCGGACGGGUGAGUAACACGUGGGAACGUGCCCUUUGGUUCGGAACAACUCAGGGAAACUUGAGCUAAUACCGGAUGUGGCCUUCGGGGGAAAGAUUUAUCGCCAUUGGAGCGGCCCGCGUCUGAUUAGCUAGUUGGUGAGGUAAAGGCUCAUCAAGGCGACGAGAAGUAGCUGGUCUGAGAGGAUGAUCAGCCACAUUGGGACUGAGACACGGCCCAAACGCCUACGGGAGGCAGCAGUGGUGAAUCUUGCGCAAUGGGCGAAAGCCUGACGCAGCCAUGCCGCGUGAAUGAUGAAGGUCUUAGGAUUGUAAAAUUCUUUCACCGGGGACGAUAAUGACGGUACCCGGAGAAGAAGCCCCGGCUAACUUCGUGCCAGCAGCCGCGGUAA